UUACGGCCACAUCACAUUGCAACACCAGUUCCCGUACGAUCACGGAAGUUAAGCAAUGUCGAGUCUGGUCACUACCUAUAUGGGUGACAGCUUGGGAAUACUAGGUGCUAUAA